CCUANGGGGGGCAGCAGUGGGGAAUUGUUCGCAAUGGGCGAAAGCCUGACGACGCAACGCCGCGUGGAGGAUGAAGAAUUUCGGUUCGUAAACUCCUUUCGACCAAGAUGAAUACCCAUGGGUUUAAUACGCCUGUGGGCUGACAGUAUUGAGAGAAGAAGCCCCGGCUAACUCUGUGCCAGCAGCCGCGGUAAUACAGGGGGGGCAAGCGUUGUUCGGAAUUACUGGGCGUAAAGGGUUCGUAGGUGGCCAACUAAGUCAGACGUGAAAUCCCUCAGCUUAACUGGGGAACUGCGUCUGAUACUGGUUGGCUUGAGUGCAGGAGAGGAACGCAGAAUUCCAGGUGUAGCGGUGAAAUGCGUAGAUAUCUGGAGGAAUACCGGUGGCGAAGGCGGCGUUCUGGACUGUAACUGACACUGAGGAACGAAAGCCAGGGGAGCAAACGGGAUUAGAUACCCUANUANUC
rnacentral:rRNA from 1 species